GAUGAACGCUGGCGGCGUGCUUAACACAUGCAAGUCGAGCGAUGAAGUUUCCUUCGGGAAACGGAUUAGCGGCGGACGGGUGAGUAACACGUGGGUAACCUGCCUCAUAGAGUGGAAUAGCCUUCCGAAAGGAAGAUUAAUACCGCAUAACGUUGAAAGAUGGCAUCAUCAUUUAACCAAAGGAGCAAUCCGCUAUGAGAUGGACCCGCGGCGCAUCAGCUAGUUGGUGGGGUAACGGCCUACCAAGGCGACGAUGCGUAGCCGACCUGAGAGGGUGAUCGGCCACAUUGGGACUGAGACACGGCCCAGACUCCUACGGGAGGCAGCAGUGGGGAAUAUUGCACAAUGGGGGAAACCCUGAUGCAGCAACGCCGCGUGAGUGAUGAAGGUUUUCGGAUCGUAAAGCUCUGUCUUUGGGGAAGAUAAUGACGGUACCCAAGGAGGAAGCCACGGCUAACUACGUGCCAGCCGCCGCGGUAACAC
rnacentral:rRNA from 1 species